rnacentral:rRNA from 1 species
GAUGAACGCUGGCGGCGUGCCUAAUACAUGCAAGUCGAGCGAACGGACGAGAAGCUUGCUUCUCUGAUGUUAGCGGCGGACGGGUGAGUAACACGUGGAUAACCUACCUAUAAGACUGGGAUAACUUCGGGAAACCGGAGCUAAUACCGGAUAAUAUUAUGAACCGCAUGGUUCAAAAGUGAAAGACGGUCUUGCUGUCACUUAUAGAUGGAUCCGCGCUGCAUUAGCUAGUUGGUAAGGUAACGGCUUACCAAGGCAACGAUGCAUAGCCGACCUGAGAGGGUGAUCGGCCACACUGGAACUGAGACACGGUCCAGACUCCUACGGGAGGCAGCAGUAGGGAAUCUUCCGAAAUGGGCGAAAGCCUGACGGAGCACCGCCGCGUGAGUGAUGAAGGUCUUCGGAUCGUAAAACUCUGUUAUUAGGGAAGAACAUAUGUGUAAGUAACUGUGCACAUCUUGACGGUACCUAAUCAGAAAGCCACGGCUAACUACGUG